rnacentral:rRNA from 4 species
GGGAUUGCCCUAGUAACGGCGAGUGAAGCGGCAACAGCUCAAAUUUGAAAUCUGGCGCAAGCCCGAGUUGUAAUUUGUAGAGGAUGCUUCUGGGUAGCGACCGGUCUAAGUUCCUUGGAACAGGACGUCAUAGAGGGUGAGAAUCCCGUAUGUGACCGGCCCGCACCCUUUACGUAGCUCCUUCGACGAGUCGAGUUGUUUGGGAAUGCAGCUCUAAAUGGGAGGUAAAUUUCUUCUAAAGCUAAAUACCGGCCAGAGACCGAUAGCGCACAAGUAGAGUGAUCGAAAGAUGAAAAGUACUUUGGAAAGAGAGUUAAAAAGCACGUGAAAUUGUUGAAAGGGAAGCGCCUGCAAUCAGACUUCGCGGCAGUGUUCCGCCGGUCUUCUGACCGGUUUAUUCUCUGUCGCGAGGCCAUCAUCGUCUCGGCCCGCUGGAUAAGACCUUGGGAAUGUAGCUCACCUUCGGGGGAGUGUUAUAGCUCAUGGUGAUGCAGCGAGGCUGGGGCGAGGUCCGCGCUUCGGCAAGGAUGAUGGCGUAAUGGUUGUCGGCGGCCCGUCUUGAAACACGGACCAAGGAGUCUAACAUCUAUGCGAGUGUUCGGGUGUCAAACCCCUACGCGUAAUGAAAGUGAACGGAGGUGGGAACCGCAAGGUGCACCAUCGACCGAUCCUGAUGUCCUCGGAUGGAUUUGAGUAAGAGCAUAGCUGUUGGGACCCGAAAGAUGGUGAACUAUGCCUGAAUAGGGUGAAGCCAGAGGAAACUCUGGUGGAGGCUCGCAGCGGUUCUGACGUGCAAAUCGAUCGUCAAAUUUGGGUAUAGGGGCG